UACGUAGGUGGCUAGCGUUAUCCGGAUUUACUGGGCGUAAAGAGCGCGUAGGUGGUUUUUCAAGUCGAAUGUAAAAUCUCCCGGCUCAACUGGGAGGGCGCAUUUGAUACUGUUGGACUUGAGGGCAUUAGAGGAAAGCGGAAUUCCCGGUGUAGUGGUGAAAUGCGUAGAUAUCGGGAGGAACACCAGUGGCGAAGGCGGCUUUCUGGGAUGCACCUGACACUGAGGCGCGAAAGCGUGGGGAGCGAACAGG
rnacentral:rRNA from 1 species